GACGAACGCUGGCGGCGUGCUUAACACAUGCAAGUCGAACGGAAAGGCCCUGCUUGCAGGGUACUCGAGUGGCGAACGGGUGAGUAACACGUGGGUGAUCUGCCCUGCACUUCGGGAUAAGCCUGGGAAACUGGGUCUAAUACCGGAUAGGAGCCAUUUUUAGUGUGAUGGUUGGAAAGUUUUUUCGGUGUAGGCUGAGCUCGCGGCCUAUCAGCUUGUUGGUGGGGUAAUGGCCUACCCAGGCGGCGACGGGUAGCCGGCCUGAGAGGGUGGACGGCCACAUUGGGUCUGAGAUACGGCCCAGACUCCUACGGGAGGCAGCAGUGGGGAAUAUUGCACAAUGGGCGCAAGCCUGAUGCAGCGACGCCGCGUGGGGGAUGACGGCCUUCGGGUUGUAAACUCCUUUCGCUAGGGACGAAGCUUUUGUGACGGUACCUAGAUAAGAAGCACCGGCUAACUACGUG
rnacentral:rRNA from 1 species